AGCUUUUUUAAUCUGUGAAGAGAUUUUGUCAGACACUAACCCAUUAGGGCUGAUCACACUUCCAAGAUAAGUGAAAUU
rnacentral:pre_miRNA from 1 species